GACAAGCGCGCCGACACAAAAACUCAAUUUACUCCUGUGUCAAGUAAAGGAAGACGCAGAGGGAAAGAAGCAUAGUUUUUCAUUAGUGUCUCAUAACAGGACGUUCCUGUUUCAAGCCGAAGACGAAGCUGAUUUAAGCGCGUGGGUGUCUGUCAUAAGCAAUAGCAGGACAGAAGCAUUAGAGAAAGCAUUUGGUGACAACGAUAACGAGG